AGUGAACGCUGGCGGUAGGCCUAACACAUGCAAGUCGAACGGCAGCACAGUAAGAGCUUGCUCUUACGGGUGGCGAGUGGCGGACGGGUGAGGAAUACAUCGGAAUCUACUUUUUCGUGGGGGAUAACGUAGGGAAACUUACGCUAAUACCGCAUACGACCUACGGGUGAAAGCAGGGGAUUUUCGGACCUUGCGCGAUUGAAUGAGCCGAUGUCGGAUUAGCUAGUUGGCGGGGUAAAGGCCCACCAAGGCGACGAUCCGUAGCUGGUCUGAGAGGAUGAUCAGCCACACAGGAACUGAGGCACGGUCCAGACUCCUACGGGAGGCAGCAGUGGGGAAUAUUGGGCAAUGGGCGCAAGCCUGAUCCAGCCAUACCGCGUGGGUGAAGAAGGCCUUCGGGUUGUAAAGCCCUUUUGUUGGGAAAGAAAAGCAGCAGGUUAAUACCCCGCUGUUCUGACGGUACCCAAAGAAUAAGCACCGGCUAACUUCGUG
rnacentral:rRNA from 1 species